UUUUUACAACCCAUGUUAGAAGAAGACUAGUGAGUACAAGGCAACGAGUUGCGUUGUUUACGUGAUGAACAGUCCAAGGCGAAAGCAAUUCGUUAUUUGAGUUUUCUUUUCAUACUCAUGUCGUGAUAAUGCUGUAGUAGUGAUACUGCAAGUGGUGACAUUCGGAUGGGGAGCUAAACUGUUGGAAAAGACGGAUAUGACAAGAAGAAGGCAUGAUGCUAAAAUCUAGAAAUUGGAGCUGUAUUUCUGUGGAAAAUGUAUGAUUUGUGCUGUCACGUGGCUUUUCCAAGUUGCUUACUUCAUCUCUCCUUCCAGAAUGAUUAAGUUGUAGAAAGUUGCACAAAGACUUGGAGGUCAUUGUGAAUAGUUCUCACCGCCCCCCCGGGGAAACAUGGAUCGAUAUGCUCUGUGCUCGUUUAUUUCCGCCUGCCCGCUUCUGUCUGGCCAAGAUGGCGGCCCUUGGCGAGGGAUGGCGGCCUCAGUUGGUGUCUUUACGGAUUAUAUGCAGAUGAGAUCUGCAACUGGCCGAAGCACCUGGUUUUCCAAAUGUUUACCCAGUCAAACAGUAUUUUAAAUUCAUAUUCCAGUCAUGGCUUAUGAUGAAGCAUUCAAGAAAAAAGAAGGUGCUUGUCUAAGUUCGGAAGCUCACAUGUUCUUGCGUGGCUGGUUUCCUGCUGCUGUUCUGAGCCUGCACAGCUACAGUUUUUAAAUCUGUUCCAUCAGAUGUUUUCUUUUU